AGUGAACGCUGGUGGUAGGCCUAACACAUGCAAGUCGAACGGCAGCACAGUAAGAGCUUGCUCUUACGGGUGGCGGGUGGCGGACGGGUGAGGAAUACAUCGGAAUCUACUUUUUCGUGGGGGAUAACGUAGGGAAACUUACGCUAAUACCGCAUACGACCUACGGGUGAAAGCAGGGGAUCUUCGGACCUUGCGCGAUUGAAUGAGCCGAUGUCGGAUUAGCUAGUUGGCGGGGUAAAGGCCCACCAAGGCGACGAUCCGUAGCUGGUCUGAGAGGAUGAUCAGCCACACUGGAACUGAGACACGGUCCAGACUCCUACGGGAGGCAGCAGUGGGGAAUAUUGGACAAUGGGCGCAAGCCUGAUCCAGCCAUACCGCGUGGGUGAAGAAGGCCUUCGGGUUGUAAAGCCCUUUUGUUGGGAAAGAAAAGCAGCAGGUUAAUACCCCGCUGUUCUGACGGUACCCAAAGAAUAAGCACCGGCUAACUUCGUG
rnacentral:rRNA from 1 species